rnacentral:siRNA from 1 species
UUGUAAUUUUGCACUCGUCUUC